rnacentral:rRNA from 1 species
CCCUUAGAUGUUCUGGGCCGCACGCGCGCUACACUGAUGCAUUCAACGAGUUCCUACCUUGGCCGAGAGGCCUGGGCAAUCUUUUGAACUUGCAUCGUGAUAGGGAUAGAUUAUUGCAAUUAUUAAUCUUGAACGAGGAAUUCCUAGUAAACGCAGAUCAUCAAUCUGCAUUGAUUACGUCCCUGCCCUUUGUACACACCGCCCGUCGCGCCUACCGAUUGAAUGGUCCGGUGAAGCCUCGGGAUUGUGGUUAGUUUCCUUCAUUGGAAGUUAGCCGCGAGAACUUGUCUAAACCUUAUCAUUUAGAGGAAGGUGAAGUCGUAACA